rnacentral:lncRNA from 1 species
ACAUCAUACAUCUGUGUGUAUAUUUAAUAACCACACUGAAUAACCACGCAACCAAGGUGUAGCACACACAUACACACACAUACACACACAUACACACACAUACACACACAUGCACGCACAUGCACACAUAUACACACACAUACACACACAUACACACACAUACACACACAUACACACAUACACACACAUACACACACAUACACACACAUGCACACACAUGCACACACAUGCACACACAUGCACACACACAAUCAACAUACAGAUAGAGUAAAGCAAGGAGAAGUGGGCAAUGCAACUGCUGAGUGUCGUACAGAUAACAUAAUCGAGAAAUAAAUUCCUGCUUUCCAUCAGCACAUCUUA